GACGAACCGUGCGAACGUUGUUCGGAAUCACUGGGCUUAAAGGGCGCGUAGGCGGCUUGCCAAGUCAGGGGUGAAAUCCAGCAGCUUAACUGUUGAAGUGCCUUUGAUACUGGCGAGCUCGAGGGAGGUAGGGGUCUGUGGAACUUCUGGUGGAGCGGUGAAAUGCGUUGAUAUCAGAAGGAACGCCGGUGGCGAAAGCGACGGACUGGACCUCCUCUGACGCUGAGGCGCGAAAGCUAGGGGAGCAAACGGG
rnacentral:rRNA from 1 species